GCCAGUGUAGUGUAGUGGUUUGAGCAUUGGACUGUGACUCAGGAGGCCAGGGUUCAAAUCCCCACUUGGAUA